UUGAACGCUGGCGGCAUGCCUUACACAUGCAAGUCGAACGGCAGCACGGAGCUUGCUCUGGUGGCGAGUGGCGAACGGGUGAGUAAUAUAUCGGAACGUACCCUAGAGUGGGGGAUAACGUAGCGAAAGUUACGCUAAUACCGCAUACGAUCUAAGGAUGAAAGUGGGGGAUCGCAAGACCUCAUGCUCGUGGAGCGGCCGAUAUCUGAUUAGCUAGUUGGUAGGGUAAAGGCCUACCAAGGCAUCGAUCAGUAGCUGGUCUGAGAGGACGACCAGCCACACUGGAACUGAGACACGGUCCAGACUCCUACGGGAGGCAGCAGUGGGGAAUUUUGGACAAUGGGCGAAAGCCUGAUCCAGCAAUGCCGCGUGAGUGAAGAAGGCCUUCGGGUUGUAAAGCUCUUUUGUCAGGGAAGAAACGGUGAGAGCUAAUAUCUCUUGCUAAUGACGGUACCUGAAGAAUAAGCACCGGCUAACUACGU
rnacentral:rRNA from 1 species